CUUGCAUAUCACCUGAUCUGAUACUACCCUGAGGGAGAGGAUAAUGUGUUUUCAUCACAAAACCAAGAUCAAAACUGAGACAUACCAUUCAUGAAAACGUACAACAGAAAACCAAAAGCUGCAACACAAGUGAUUCAAGUAAUAAGCAAUUCCUCCAGACUUGCCUUGCUUGUGAAGAAAAGACGGAAGGACAGGGAGAAUGGACCAGGAGGAGUAGGAAAAGAUCUCCAGCAUGUGGCACUGAGACUCCUGGGCCAAGCACGGUCUGAAUAAUAGUUUUUAUUAUGAGUGAUCACACAGCAUAAACCACUGAUGUUUGAAAGGCAGGUUCCUGCCCUUCGUUCACAGGACAGUGGCUUGCAAUUGGAUUUAACCUGGGACCGUGUGUGUGUGGUUUGUAGACAUGACACAAUCGUUCCAUUGUAUUCUUAAAUAAAAAAAACCAUAGCUGUAUGAAGCAAGUACUUGUACUGUUU